rnacentral:tRNA from 1 species
GAGGGUAUAGCUCAGUGGUAUAGUGCCUGCCUAGCAUGCACAAGGUCCUGGGUUCCAUCCCCAGUAACUUCA